rnacentral:rRNA from 1 species
GUAGAGUAUACCAAGGCGCUUGAGAGAACUAUACUGAAGGAACUCGGCAAAUUGCAUGCGUAACUUCGGGAUAAGCAUGACUUCUAUCGGGGCAACCCUUUAGGAGUGGCACAAAAGAGGGGGUGGCGGCUGUUUACUAAAAACACAGGGCUCUGCGAAGUUGCAAAACGACGUAUAGGGUCUGACGCCUGCCCGGUGCCGGAAGGUUAAAAGGAGGGGUUAACCCCCUGAAUUGAAGCCCCGGUAAACGGCGGCCGUAACAAUAACGGUCCUAAGGUAGCGAAAUUCCUUGUCGGGUAAGUUCCGACCUGCACGAAUGGCGUAACGACUUCCCCACUGUCUCCAGUAUAGACUCAGCGAAAUUGAAUUCCCCGUGAAGAUGCGGGGUUCCUGCGGUCAGACGGAAAGACCCCAUGCACCUUUACUAUAGCUUUACGCUGGCAUUUGUGUCGGCAUGUGCAGGAUAGGUGGUAGGCUUUGAAGCAGGGACGCUAGUUUCUGUGGAGCCGCAAGAUGAGAUACCACCCUUAUCGUCAUAGAUGUCUAACCGCGGCAUAACAGUGUCCGGGACAGCGUAUGGUGGGUAGUUUGACUGGGGCGGUCGCCUCCCAAAGAGUAACGGAGGCGCGCGAUGGUGGGCUCAGACCGGUCGGAAAUCGGUCGCUGAGUGCAAUGGCAUAAGCCUGCCUGACUGCGAGAUCGACAGAUCGAGCAGAGACGAAAGUCGGUCAUAGUGAUCCGGUGGUCCCGCGUGGAAGGGCCAUCGCUCAACGAAUAAAAGGUACGCUGGGGAUAACAGGCUGAUGAUGCCCAAGAGUCCAUAUCGACGGCAUCGUUUGGCACCUCGAUGUCGGCUCAUCACAUCCUGGGGCUGGAGCAGGUCCCAAGGGUAUGGCUGUUCGCCAUUUAAAGUGGUACGUGAGCUGGGUUUAGAACGUCGUGAGACAGUUCGGUCCCUAUCUGCCGUGGGUGUAGGAAUAUUGAGAAGAGCUGACCCUAGUACGAGAGGACCGGGUUGGACGAAUCUCUGGUGGACCUGUUGUGGCGCCAGCCGCAUUGCAGGGUAGCUAAAUUCGGACGGGAUAACUGCUGAAAGCAUCUAAGCAGGAAGCCUCCUUCAAAACUAGUAUUCCCUUGAGAGCCGUGGAAGACCACCACGUCGAUAGGCCGGGUGUGGAAGCGUAGCAAUAUGUGAAGCUUACCGGUACUAAUAGCUC